AGGACGAACGCUGGCGGCGUGCUUAACACAUGCAAGUCGAACGGAAAGGCCCUUCGGGGUACUCGAGUGGCGAACGGGUGAGUAACACGUGGGUGAUCUGCCCUGCACUUUGGGAUAAGCCUGGGAAACUGGGUCUAAUACCGAAUAGGACUACGCGAUGCAUGUCGUGUGGUGGAAAGCUUUUGCGGUGUGGGAUGGGCCCGCGGCCUAUCAGCUUGUUGGUGGGGUGAUGGCCUACCAAGGCGACGACGGGUAGCCGGCCUGAGAGGGUGUCCGGCCACACUGGGACUGAGAUACGGCCCAGACUCCUACGGGAGGCAGCAGUGGGGAAUAUUGCACAAUGGGCGCAAGCCUGAUGCAGCGACGCCGCGUGGGGGAUGACGGCCUUCGGUUGUAACCUCUUUCACCAUCGACGAAGCCUUCGGGUGACGGUAGGUGGAGAAGAAGCACCGGCCAACUACGUGCCAGCAGCCGC
rnacentral:rRNA from 1 species